rnacentral:rRNA from 1 species
UUGAACGAGAGAGUUUGAUCCUGGCUCAGAUUGAACGCUGGCGGCAUGCCUAACACAUGCAAGUCGAACGGUAGCAGGCCUUCGGGUGCUGACGAGUGGCGGACGGGUGAGUAAUGCGUAGGAAUCUGUCUUUUAGUGGGGGACAACCCAGGGAAACUUGGGCUAAUACCGCAUGAGCCCUGAGGGGGAAAGCGGGGGAUCUUCGGACCUCGCGCUAAGAGAAGAGCCUACGUCUGAUUAGCUAGUUGGUAGGGUAAAGGCCUACCAAGGCGACGAUCAGUAGCUGGUCUGAGAGGACGACCAGCCACACUGGGACUGAGACACGGCCCAGACUCCUACGGGAGGCAGCAGUGGGGAAUUUUUCGCAAUGGGGGCAACCCUGACGAAGCAAUGCCGCGUGGAUGAAGAAGGCCUUCGGGUUGUAAAGUCCUUUCGUGGGGGACGAAAAGGUGGUUCCUAAUACGAGCUGCUGUUGACGUGAACCCAAGAAGAAA